AUUGAACGCUGGCGGCAUGCCUUACACAUGCAAGUCGAACGGCAGCACGGGGGCAACCCUGGUGGCGAGUGGCGAACGGGUGAGUAAUGCAUCGGAACGUGCCCAGUAGUGGGGGAUAACCCGGCGAAAGCCGGGCUAAUACCGCAUACGACCCAAGGGUGAAAGCGGGGGACCGUAAGGCCUCGCGCUAUUGGAGCGGCCGAUGUCUGAUUAGCUAGUUGGCGGGGUAAGAGCCCACCAAGGCGACGAUCAGUAGCUGGUCUGAGAGGACGACCCGCCACACUGGGACUGAGACACGGCCCAGACUCCUACGGGAGGCAGCAGUGGGGAAUAUUGGACAAUGGGCGCAAGCCUGAUCCAGCAAUGCCGCGUGUGUGAAGAAGGCCUUCGGGUUGUAAAGCACUUUUAUCGGGAGCGAAAAGCGGACGGUGAAUACCCGUCCGUGCUGACGGUACCCGAGGAAUAAGCACCGGCUAACUUCGUGCCAGCAGCCGCCGUAAUAC
rnacentral:rRNA from 1 species